GACAGAGGAGCCAAGCGUUGUCCGGAUUGACUGGGCGUAAAGCGCACGCAGGCGGUCGUGCACGUGGGGUGUGAAAACUGGCGGCUUAACUGCCAGAGGCCACCUCAUACGGCGCGACUCGAGCCCUGCAGAGGUCCAUGGAAUUGCCGGUGUAGUGGUGAAAUGCGUAGAUAUGUGGAGGAACACCAGUGGCGAAGGCGGUUUUCUAGCUUAUUCCUGACGCUGAGGCGCGAAAGCAAGGGGAUCAAACAGG
rnacentral:rRNA from 1 species